GACCUCGUAGUUCAGUUGGUUACAGCGUUGGCUGUGCUUAAGUCUUCCCCAUGCUGGCGUAGGUUCGAAUCCCACCGAGGCCG
rnacentral:tRNA from 1 species